rnacentral:rRNA from 1 species
AAUGAACGUUGGCGGCGUGGAUUAGGCAUGCAAGUCGCGCGACAAGCUUUUCCUAGCUUGCUAGGAAAAGUGGAGGAGCGGCGAAAGGGUGAGUAACGCGUGGAUACCUUCCCUUGGGCCCGGGAUAGCGUCGGGAAACUGGCGGUAAUACCGGAUAACGUCCCCGGACCAAAGGUGUGAUUCCGCCCGAGGAUGGGUCCGCGUCCUAUUAGCUUGUUGGUGAGGUAAAGGCUUACCAAGGCUACGAUGGGUACCGGGUGUGAGAGCAUGGCCCGGCACACUGGGACUGAGACACUGCCCAGACACCUACGGGUGGCUGCAGUCGAGAAUCUUCCGCAAUGGACGCAAGUCUGACGGAGCGACGCCGCGUGCGGGAUGAAGGCCUUCGGGUUGUAAACCGCUGUCAGUGGGGAGCAAUCCAUAGAGGCUAUCCUCUAUGGUUGAGCGAUCCGCAGAGGAAGCGCAGGCUAAGUUCGUGCCAGCCGCCGCGGU